UUUCGCAAUGCCCGAAAGGGUGACGAAGCGACGCUGCGCGUGGGAAGAAGGCCUUCGGGUUGUAAACCACUGUCAGGAGUUAGGAAGUGCAGGUGCGUUAAUAGCGUUCUUACUUGACUAAAGCUCCAGAGGAAGCCACGGCUAACUCUGUGCCAGCAGCCGCGGUAAUACAGAGGCGGCAAGCGUUGUUCGGAAUUAUUGGGCGUAAAGAGCACGUAGUCGGCCCUGCAAGUCAGCUGUGAAAGCCUUCUGCUUAACAGAAGAACGGCAGUUGAAACUACAGGGCUUGAGUGCGGGAGGGUAGAGUGGAACUUCUGGUGGAGCGGUGAAAUGCGUAGAUAUCAGAAGGAACGCCGGCGGCGAAAGCGGCUCUCUGGUCCGUAACUGACGCUGAGUGUGCGAAAGCUAGGGGAUCAAACGGGAUUAGAUACCCCGGUAGUCCUAGCCGUAAACGAUGGGCACUAAGUAGAGGGGUUUU
rnacentral:rRNA from 1 species